GUGACCUAGUGGUUAGAGCGUCCGCCUCUGAUGCGGGAGGUUGUGGGUUCGAACCCGGUAGAGUCA